rnacentral:rRNA from 1 species
GGCAGCACGGGGCUUGCUCCUGGUGGCGAGUGGCGAACGGGUGAGUAAUACAUCGGAACGUACCCUGAAGUGGGGGAUAACGUAGCGAAAGUUACGCUAAUACCGCAUAUUCUGUGAGCAGGAAAGAGGGGGAUCGCAAGACCUCUUGCUUUAGGAGCGGCCGAUGUCGGAUUAGCUGGUUGGUGAGGUAAAGGCUCACCAAGGCGACGAUCCGUAGCGGGUCUGAGAGGAUGAUCCGCCACACUGGGACUGAGACACGGCCCAGACUCCUACGGGAGGCAGCAGUGGGGAAUUUUGGACAAUGGGCGCAAGCCUGAUCCAGCCAUGCCGCGUGAGUGAAGAAGGCCUUCGGGUUGUAAAGCUCUUUCGGUGGGGAAGAAAUUGCUUCGGUUAAUACCUGAAGUAGAUGACGGUACCCGCACAAGAAGCACCGGCUAACUACGUGCCAGCAGCCGCGGUAAUACGUAGGGUGCGAGCGUUAAUCGGAAUUCUGGGCGUAAAGCGUGCGCAGGCGGUUGUAUAAGUCAGAUGUG